rnacentral:rRNA from 1 species
UUUGCCGGCGACCGGCGCACGGGUGAGUAACACGUAUGCAACCUGCCCUCUUCAGGGGGACAACCUUCCGAAAGGGAGGCUAAUCCCGCGUAUAUCGGUUUCGGGCAUCCGAGAUCGAGGAAAGAUUCAUCGGAAGAGGAUGGGCAUGCGGCGCAUUAGCUAGACGGCGGGGUAACGGCCCACCGUGGCGACGAUGCGUAGGGGUUCUGAGAGGAAGGUCCCCCACACUGGUACUGAGACACGGACCAGACUCCUACGGAAGGCAGCAG